rnacentral:rRNA from 1 species
UACGUAGGUGUCAAGCGUUGUCCGGAUUUACUGGGCGUAAAGCGUGCGCAGGCGGCUCCUUAAGUCAGAUGUGAAAUCCCCGGGCUUAACCUGGGAACUGCGUUUGAAACUGGGGAGCUAGAGUGUGGAAGAGGGGGGUGGAAUUCCAGGUGUAGCAGUGAAAUGCGUAGAUAUCUGGAGGAACACCGAUGGCGAAGGCAGCCCCCUGGGCUGACACUGACGCUCAUGCACGAAAGCGUGGGGAGCAAACAGG